CCCCUUGCUAAUGCAGCACAUUGGCUGACUGGAGGCACUGCACAUCGCCAUUCACUUGUGACAGUUGUAUUCGACACAGAGAAUCACACCCCUUGCUAAUACAGCACAUUGGCUGACUGGAGGCACUGCACAUCGCCAUUCACUUGUGACAGUUGUAUUCGACACAGAGGCCAUUUACAGGAUAACAAAUACUGAUACAUUACCCUGAAGGUCGGCUUGAAAGUUACUUCAUGACCCAAAGUGCCCACCAUGCCUCGGCAGGAGCGUUACCUCACCUACAUGUGUGUGCGUACGUAUUUGCGGACUUUCACAAUACUCAAUCUUUCCCGGUAUCUAUUUUGAGGAUAAGACCUCAGCGAACUGAUUCGCCAGCUAGGUUCUGAAAUCCACUAGUCUCUUUCAAUGAAUCUGAUACCAACUUGUUAGUAAUUCCAUGUGUCAUUUUCACCUUUACACACCCCUGAUGCAGUUCAUAUUUUUGUAUUAUAUACCAGGCACGCUGGUCUCAAAUUCUUACUUCCCUGUGCUACUUCAAUGCACUUCUAACUUCAGUCACACCACUGCUGGACAAUGCACUUUCGGCCGGUCCACUCCACUUCUACAUCACCACCAUCGUGAGGACAAUGCCGUAUAAUCAAUUGCAGAAUCUCCAGACAGCUAGUUUUACAUAUGGUGGUGAUGUGUUAGUGCAGCAGUCGAGUGAGAGUACAUUGUAGAGUGAUGGUGUGACUAAUACUGUGGUCAUAAAGCCCACUAUUAGUGUCCUAUUUUACAUUAUUAGAUUUCUCACAAAAUAAUACACUUCAUUUCUAACUACCUUGCAUGUAUCCUUGAUUACUUCGAAGUAUUCACAUGUUUUUUUCUUACAAUUGGCUGUAAAAAUCGGCCUUCUUUCCCCAAACAGCUGCCCUAUUGCCCGUAAAAGCGGCAAACUCGCCC